AAUUUCCCAGACCAUAAACAAAGAUAAAUCAGAAACAAUAGAAGCAUUGAUAGAAAAUGCAGAUGAUGAAAAGAGCAUUUUGUUGAAUGCCCAAGCAGUUGAGAAUAGCAGUACUGAAGGCAAGGCAACAGAGGCGGGAUCAAAAGGAAAAUGUGA